GGUGAACGCUAGCGGCAGGCCUAACACAUGCAAGUCGAACGGUAAGUGGGGAGCUUGCUCCCUACACGAGUGGCGCACGGGUGAGUAACGCGUAUGCAAUCUGCCUCCAACUGGAGAAUAGCCCCCCGAAAGGGGGAUUAAUACUCCAUGGCACUGCACUUCCGCAUGGUAGUGCAGUUAAAGCUUCGGCGGUUGGAGAUGAGCAUGCGUCCCAUUAGUUAGUUGGCGAGGUAACGGCUCACCAGGACAUCGAUGGGUAGGGGGCCUGAGAGGGUUAUCCCCCACACUGGUACUGAGACACGGACCAGACUCCUACGGGAGGCAGCAGUGAGGAAUAUUGGUCAAUGGACGGAAGUCUGAACCAGCCAUGCCGCGUGCAGGAUGACGGCCCUACGGGUUGUAAACUGCUUUUAUAUGGGAAGAAACCCCCGACGUGUUGGGGGCUGACGGUACCAUAGGAAUAAGGACCGGCUAACUCCGUGCCAGCAGCCGCGGUAAUACGGAGGGUACCG
rnacentral:rRNA from 1 species